rnacentral:rRNA from 1 species
AGCGAACGCUGGCGGCAGGCCUAACACAUGCAAGUCGAACGAACCUUUCGGGGUUAGUGGCGGACGGGUGAGUAACACGUGGGAACGUGCCUUUAGGUUCGGAAUAACUCAGGGAAACUUGUGCUAAUACCGAAUGUGCCCUUCGGGGGAAAGAUUUAUCGCCUUUAGAGCGGCCCGCGUCUGAUUAGCUAGUUGGUUGAGGUAAUGGCUCACCAAGGCGACGAUCAGUAGCUGGUCUGAGAGGAUGAUCAGCCACAUUGGGACUGAGACACGGCCCAAACUCCUACGGGAGGCAGCAGUGGGGAAUCUUGCGCAAUGGGCGAAAGCCUGACGCAGCCAUGCCGCGUGAAUGGUGAAGGUCUUAGGAUUGUAAAAUUCUUUCACCGGGGACGAUAAUGACGGUACCCGGAGAAGAAGCCCCGGCUAACUUCGU